rnacentral:rRNA from 1 species
UCUCAGUUCGGACUGUAGGCUGCAACUCGCCUACACGAAGUUGGAAUUGCUAGUAAUCGUGGAUCAGCAUGCCACGGUGAAUACGUUCCCGGGUCUUGUACACACCGCCCGUCACACCAUGGGAGCUGGUAACACCCGAAGUCAGUAGUCUAACCGCAAGGAGGACGCUGCCGAAGGUGGGAUUAGCGACUGGGGUGAAGUCGUAACAAGGUAUC